UACGUAGGUGGCAAGCGUUGUCCGGAUUUACUGGGCGUAAAGGGCGUGCAGGCGGUCUGUUAAGUUCAGGGUGAAAGCUCCCGGCUCAACUGGGAGAGGUCCUUGGAUACUGGCAGACUUGGGGAGGGUAGAGGAGAGUGGAAUUCCCGGUGUAGUGGUGAUAUGCGUAGAUAUCGGGAGGAACACCGGUGGCGAAGGCGGGUCUCUGGGCCGAUACUGACGCUGAGGAGCGAAAGCGUGGGGAGCGAACAGG
rnacentral:rRNA from 1 species